AUACAGCUGACGAGUCCCAAAUAGGAGGAGGCGCACGUUCUGAAU
rnacentral:hammerhead_ribozyme from 1 species